CCCAUAUCAUUUUAUAAUUACAUAUUUAUCCAACUCUCCUUUUAUUUUAAAUUAAUAUUUUUAAUUAAAAAAAUUACAUUAUUUUCAUUCAUUUUCUAAUAGGAUGAAAUUGAGAAACCUAACAAGAAGCAAACAAAGCAUCAGACCCAGCACAACAAUGGCAGAGUUGAAGUUGCCGCUGGGAUUUCAAAGAAGAGAAUAUUUUUCUUCUUCCUCUUGACAAUAUCCUUCUUUCUCACUUUCUCAUCUCCGUCUUUUCGUUUUUGAAAAAGGGUCAAAUCAAUAACUCUUCCAAUACUUACAAAAUCACACACAGAUCAUUAUGGAAAGAAAAUGGAGGACAUUGAGAAGAAUGUAAAAUUGAAGCAAUAAGAGGCAACAAUAAUACAUUGAUAGCAAAUGUGGUAAUAGUCCGGUUAUUUUUGGUGAUCAUAGACAGCUUUGCUUCAGUAUUUUUUUCAUCAAUUUGGGGCCAAUUUUUUGCAGGGAGUUAUUUAGUUCGGUUGGGGCUGUGGCGUCUCGUCGAGUUUUCAUUCCUCCUAGCUGCCAAACCCAAUCUAAGUUAGUUUCUGUUGGAAUUUUUCUUAUAUGCCUAGAGGUGCUUCUAUUCCGGUUCAUUUUCAUGCUUAAGUGCAGGGUGUUUUUUUUCUUAAUUUUUAGAUAUUUAUGUUCAGUUGAUUAGAAAUUUCUGCAUCGGUGUAAUUUUAUCGGUGGCUCUCGGUUGUUGUUCCUUGCUUUCUGGUUUUUUACUGGUUAUACUGCUGAGUUAAGGAAUGAAAGCAUGAUUGAUGUUGCUGAUACUUUGUUUAUUUCGUUGUAAUUGGGGGAAGGUGGAAGCUUAUAUUUGGUGUCUUUGUUAUAGUUCUGUUUGCAUUGUGUUAAUUUGAUAGGUGACCGUAAGCAUUAGCUGUGUAAUAUAUCAUGAGAAUAGGUGGUUUGUAUUGGCAUGACUUAUGCCCAGUUUUUGUGUUUAUAUAUUUAUAUCUAUUUGUUUU